CCCUUAGAUGUCCUGGGCCGCACGCGCGCUACAAUGACUCACUCAGAAAGUUUUUCCUGAUCCGGAAGGAUUCGGGUAAUCUUCAUAGCAUGAGUCGUGCUAGGGAUCGAUCUUUGCAAUUAUAGAUCUUGAACGAGGAAUGCCUAGUAAGUGCAGCUCAUCAGGCUGUACUGAUUACGUCCCUGCCCUUUGUACACACCGCCCGUCGCUCCUACCGAUUGAGUGGUCCGGUGAACCUUCUGGAUUAAGCAGCAAUGCUUGAGAAGUUAGGUAAACCUUAUCACUUAGAGGAAGGAGAAGUCGUAACA
rnacentral:rRNA from 1 species